GACGAACGCUGGCGGCGUGCCUAAUACAUGCAAGUAGAACGCUGAAGGAGGAGCUUGCUUCUCUGGAUGAGUUGCGAACGGGUGAGUAACGCGUAGGUAACCUGCCUGGUAGCGGGGGAUAACUAUUGGAAACGAUAGCUAAUACCGCAUAAGAGUAGAUGUUGCAUGACAUUUGCUUAAAAGGUGCAAUUGCAUCACUACCAGAUGGACCUGCGUUGUAUUAGCUAGUUGGUGGGGUAACGGCUCACCAAGGCGACGAUACAUAGCCGACCUGAGAGGGGGAUCGGCCACACUGGGACUGAGACACGGCCCAGACUCCUACGGGAGGCAGCAGUAGGGAAUCUUCGGCAAUAGACGGAAGUCUGACCGAGCAACGCCGCGUGAGUGAAGAAGGUUUUCGGAUCGUAAAGCUCAGUUGUAAGAGAAGAACGAGUGUGAGAGUGGAAAGUUCACACUGUGACGGUAUCUUACCAGAAAGGGACGGCUAACUACGUG
rnacentral:rRNA from 1 species